rnacentral:rRNA from 1 species
UCAUAUGCUUGUCUCAAAGAUUAAGCCAUGCAUGUCUAAGUAUAAGCCUUUAUACGGUGAAACUGCAGACGGCUCAUUAAAACAGUUAUUGUUUACUUGAUGGUUUCUUUACUACAUGGAUAACCGUAGUAAUUCUAGAGCUAAUACAUGCCCGAAGGCCCGACUUACGAAGGGCUGGGUUUAUUAGAUCAAAGCCAAACGCCCUCACGGGUGCCCUUGGUGAAUCAUAAUAACCUGUUGGAUCGCACGGCUCAAGCUGGCGACGUUUCAUACAAAUUUCUGCCCUAUCAGUUUUUGACGGUAGGAUAGUGGCCUACCGUGGCAUUGACGGGUAACGGAGAAUUAGGGUUCGGUUCCGGAGAGGGAGCCUGAGAAACGGCUACCACUUCUAAGGAAGGCAGCAGGCGCGCAAAUUACCCAAUCCUGACACAGGGAGGUAGUGACAAGAAAUAACAAUAGUUUGGCCUUUGGGUUGAACUAAUUGGAAUGAGUACAAUCUAAACACAUUAACGAGGAACAAUUGGAGGGCAAGUCUGGUGCCAGCAGCCGCGGUAAUUCCAGCUCCAAUAGCGUAUACUAAAGUUGUUGCAGUUAAAAAGCUCGUAGUUGGAUUUCUGCGUCGGGACACGCAGUGCGUGGCCAUAACGGCCUAGCAUCAGCGGGUUCUUACGCAUCCUGCUCUUACCCGCGCUGGCCUUCAUUGGUUGGCGAUGGCGAGGGGCUCGUUUACUUUGAGAAAAAUAGAGUGUUCAAAGCAGGCUUUCAGCCUUGAAUAACUUAGCAUGGAAUAAUGACAUAGGACCUUGGUUCUUUUUGUUGGUGUUCGGCACCGAGGUAAUGAUUGAUAGGGACAGUUGGGGGCGUCAGUAUUCCAAGGUCAGAGGUGAAAUUCAUAGAUUCUUGGAAGACUAACAGAUGCGAAAGCGUUCGCCAUGGAUGUACUCUUUGAUCAAGAACGAAAGUUGGGGGAUCGAAGACGAUCAGAUACCGUCGUAGUCUCAACUAUAAACUAUACCAGCUAGGGAUCGGGCAACGCCGCAAUCCAGAAGGCUUGCUCGGCACCUUAUGAGAAAUCAAAGCAUUUGGGUUCCGGGGGGAGUAUGGUCGCAAGGCUGAAACUUAAAGGAA